GACGAACGCUGGCGGCGUGCUUAACACAUGCAAGUCGAACGGAAAGGCCCUGCUUUUGUGGGGUGCUCGAGUGGCGAACGGGUGAGUAACACGUGAGUAACCUGCCCUUGACUUUGGGAUAACUUCAGGAAACUGGGGCUAAUACCGGAUCGGAGCUCCUGCUGCAUGGUGGGGGCUGGAAAGCUUCGGCGGUUGGGGAUGGACUCGCGGCGUAUCAGCUUGUUGGUGGGGUAGUGGCAUACCAAGGCUUUGACGGGUAGCCGGUCUGAGAGGGUGGCCGGCCACAUUGGGACUGAGAGACGGCCCAGAGUCGUACGGGAGGCAGCAGUGGGGAAUAUUGCACAAUGGGCGGAAGCCUGAUGCAGCAACGCCGCGUGCGGGAUGACGGCCUUCGUGUUGUAAACCGCUUUCGCCUGUGACGAAGCGUGAGUGACGGUAAUGGGUAAAGAAGCACCGGCUAACUACGUG
rnacentral:rRNA from 1 species